UAAGAUGAAACGACCUCACAGUUUGCAA
rnacentral:sRNA from 1 species